UGGUGGACGGGAAUUUUCAUCCAAAAAUUUCCCCCAAGCUUGAUCCGGCUUCCAAUUUCAACUCCCCCUGAUUGAUUUUUCUUUUUAUGAAUUUGUUUCAUUUUCACCAAAUAAUUCCCUCCCAACCAAUCCCGCUUCCGAUUUCAAUCCUAAAUGAUUUCCUCUUAAAAGCCCUAAUCAGGAACUCUUUCAAGUAUGUUCUUUGGCCUCCCAAAAUCACAACAAAUCUUCAAAAGCCCUAAUUAGAUCUCUUCAAUAGAGCAUAUGAUUCCGAACUGCUCUCCUAAUCAAAUCUACACUCGCUCAAGAACAACAGCCAGCCGAAAAGUCGGACUGGAAACCGGUCGGUUGGACCGAAAAACCAGGAGGUUGGAUUGGAUUUUUAAUCGGCCGGUCUCCCUACCUCGAUUCCCUCACACGGUUCUAGCAUCCUUUCAGGAUUUGGUUAUGGCGGAAGGUCAUCGCUACACCCUUGUUGCUCAGUUAGGUGAGUUUGACUCUGACUAGUGUCUCUUGAUAUGAUUCUUGUUGAUUUUUUUUAUUUAAUUUAAGUUUCGUGAGUUAGGGUUUAUAGAACUGUAGGAUCUUGUAUGAUCGUGUGUUUAGGGUUAUCUAUGUGUAUAGUGAUGAGGUGAUGAAGUGUUGGAUUCACUAAUUUGUUUGGAUUUAUUUGCUGGUUAUAGUUAGGUUAUUCUUAUUGUGUGGAUGCAUGAACUCGUUAAGAAAUAUGUGCUUAUAAUACUUACUUUUGAUGUGUUUUUCGUUUAAUCAUAUGUAAUGCUUAUAAUACUUACUUUUGAUGUGUUUUUUGUUUAAUCAUAUGUAAUUUAGGCUCAUAGGUUCGUGUGAUUGUGUAGUAUGUGGAAAGAUGCCUGAAUCCCUAAUACCCCAAGUUGCAACAGCUUCUUGACUAGUUGUUUGAUGGGAGUAUUUAGCCACUAACCUGUUAACCAUAUGCUCAGCUACCAAUCCCUAGUUUAGCAUAUUCAUAUUGGUGUAUAUUAUUGUUAUUUGUUUGCCAACAAAAUGGCCACUAAUUGUCUAAUUAUAUUCUAACCUGUUUAUAGUAUGCCACCAAUUUAAUGGUAUUUUAAUAAUCCUGAUGUUCGUUUCCUCAUAGUUAGAGGUUUAAACGAGUUGAUUCAAGCCGAGCCCAAGCUUAUUUAGGCUCAAGUUCUGCUCACUAUAUAAAUAAAAAGCUCGUUUAGACUCGUAGACCUGCUUGAGCUUGUUAUUAAAUGAGCCUCAAUAACAUUUGUGUGUGUGUGUGUGUGUUUUUUUUUUUUUUUUUUUUUUUUGAGAAAGUGAUGUAAAUCUAAUAAAUUUAUGAUUUUUUUAAAUUUAUCUUUUAAUAUUAUAUUCUUAUUAACGUCAAAUGAGUUCAGCUCCUUAAAAAUUUGCAUUUGCAGCUUAAAUUAAGAUAUGUAUGUUCAUGUAAUAGCAGUUUUAAUUAUGAUAUGUAUGUUCAUGUAAUGAAGAUGACAUUGUUUCUUGUGGAUUGUGAUAAGGUAAUUUAUUUGAAUGAUCUGAACUAGGGAUGGACAUUUGGUAUCGGGUACCUAAAUCGUGGGUUAUCACCUCCUUCCCUCCAGCCUCAAAUCGACUCUCCUAAAUCGUGGAUUUACUUCCCCUACCCUCACAUAAUCACCACGAUCAAGUACUUUGACCAUCUAAUUACAAACUAUGAUGCUAUCAUUCCUAUCCAUGAUUUGCAGGGAUGUGGAAUCGGUUAUGAAACCAUGUGGUGGUUCACAGGGAAAAUUAAUUGGUUUAUUGGCUCAUGGUUUAGAAAAAAAAAACGUCCAAGGUGUCUGUAUUGAGGUGAGUCUAGAGGCGAGACAGGAAGAAAUCGUUUUUGAGGCGGCGCAUCGCUAGUUAAUUAUGUUGUAAAUCACAUGAAAACCCCCUGGAUCAUUUUGUCUUUUUAAAUGUUUCUAGUUACAUUGUCCUAAAUAAUCCCACUUUCUCUGUAGUCGCAUACCCCAAUAGUAUUGACAAAAGAGAUCACUCUUACAGUGUCCUUCUUGAUUCAUUUGAGCUUUGGUGUUUCACUGGUAUAAUCAUUGUUUUUGUUCAUCACCGGGUUCAUGAGAUGGAUUCCAAGAUUUUGAAGAACUAGAGGUAUGCAUGGAAGCACACGAAAUAAAGUGGGAAAAUUUCUAUAGAAGAAUAUAUUUUUUCAGACUUUGACAGCUCUAGCAACUUCCUUUCAUGCGCUACAACCUUUGACAGAUUCUAUAUCUCGCUUUGUAUAGGUUAAGUUACUAAGUGACAUAAAUUUCCAGCCAAAACCAUGAGUAGAAAUGGUCAGAAGAGGUGGCCAUAGUUCCAACAUUUGAUGGUAGACAUGUUUAACGGAGCCUUUCUUAAGGAACGCUGAACUUGUAUCUUUACCAGAAUCAUACCAUCUGACAGACAUCAACAAAGCUUGGAGGCUCUGAUCUGGAGAGCUAUCAAACAACUAUCACUUGAAGAUCAAGACGAGUAGAAUAUUCUCUUUAUUAUUAGGAUGUUAUAUGUUGAUGUUAUACAAUAACUAUUAGGAUGUUAUAUGUUGAUGGUCUAUUUAUAAAAUUGGUUUUAUAAUCUUAUUUGGGA